GCAAAAUCAUGAAGGAUGGGAAUAUAAUUUCAUUAUGGCUGUGAACUUUCCAGAACACGACAGGUUGUUGACCCCCAGUUUGACAGUUUGACAUACAUGCAAAACUGCUAUCAAAGGACCAAAGGUAUUUCAAGGAGUAUGUGGAAGAAGAGUGUCAGGAGAAGGCACCUGUGUGCCUGGUGCCAGUUGCUGAGGAAAGGUGUCUGUAUCAUCUCCAGUCCAGUCACAUGG
rnacentral:lncRNA from 12 species